rnacentral:sRNA from 1 species
ACGAUUAUUAGCGAGGAACCAGUGAAGAAGAAUAAGCACCAACGAACGAAUGAUCAAUGGAAAGCAAAGGAACCAACAUUCGUUCAUCCAUGGAACGUAUCAGUAUUGAAAGGACAUAAAAAAGAAGUGACAGAUG